rnacentral:lncRNA from 1 species
GCUCUCGGAAGCACCCCGUGGGCUUAUAUAGGAGGGAGAAUUCAGCCUUUUAUUACUUAAUCGCAUCACUCAAGCUGCCCUUUGGAAGCCACUGAUGGGACACCCUCUGGAAAGCCACAAAAGAACAAUUUGUUUAUCCAGCACAGAGGCUGGUGCUCAGUUGACCACUGACUGCUAUUUCCAUAAUGGUCCAAAGGUGUCACAAAUUCCAUUUUCUCAGCGCCUAUGGUGGUGAGUUGUGAAUCUUAGGAAGUACAUAACUUCUAUUAAUUUCCUUCCUUCUUUCCUUCUUUCUUUCCUUUCUUCCUCUCUUUCUGUAUC